CGGUUAGGGUGUCGAGUAGAGUUUGGGAGUCGACUGAAGAGAGGUUUAAAUACCUCUCUUUAAUCGAACUGAGUUGUACGAUCUGGGGAGACGUGGAGGCACACGGAUCAUCCGAUUAUGCAUGUUUAGAAAAUCUAUCUAGGUUGUUCGAUCUGAAGAGCAUCCGAUCGAGUCUGUUUAGGAAAUCGAUCUAAGUCGUUCGCAUGCGCAGGAGCGGUCCUGAUAUGUCCGAUCGGCCUAUCACGCGGAUUGCUAGUGUGGGCUUUUCGUGUGGAGCCCGUGUCGAUGUGACACAUCUCGAUUUAUCGUGCUGUUGAUA
rnacentral:lncRNA from 1 species